rnacentral:lncRNA from 1 species
AUCCUCUCCUACAGCUCUUUCUGCUUGGAAGCUCAGGGGCUGAGCAGAGGCCCCAGGGCUGUGUCACUAUGGAGAAGAAGGCUGCGAGAUCGCAGUGUGAGCACUGACUCCCUGUCCCCACACCCCGGCUGCCUUGUUCUUCACCCCUGCCUGCAGCCUUAGCCCUGCUCCAGACUGUGGGACCAGACCUGUCCCUUGUUGGGAAACUGAGGAGUCCAGCAGCAUUGGUUACACACUGAUGAGCUGCCCUGCUCUGACCUCGUGCUCCAGUUCUGGUAACUGGGCUUCUGCUUUGACCUAUGAUCCCACUGGGUAGUGUUUUGUCACCCUGACUUGUGUCCCUGCCCUGAGUUUCAGUUUGUCUAAGCCUGAGGUCAUUCCUCUGAACUUUAGCUCCUUAGCUAAACUCUGCUCACACCUGUCCCCUAUUUUGACCAUCCACUGGGCAGCCUGUUUAAUGCUUUGUGUUCUGUUUUCUCCUUGGUGCUCAGCUGCUGGUACAUCAUGGCUCCACUUCCCUGAGGCUAACUCUCCUCAGAUUUUGACCCCUGGGAUCUACCCUGAUUAUUUGGUAACUGUACCUCUAUUUUACUUAGGAUUCUCCACUUAGGGAUUUACUUAGGGUUACCACUGAAUGGUAGAGCUUCAAGCCUGCUAUUCCUAUACGCCACUACUUACCUUGCCUUUGGAGAUUUCUUUAAAAAAAAAAAAUUGACUGCCGCUGCUAUGUAUUAAUUGAGAUUCAUUUGAUUAAAGGGGGAGAAACAGACUUUGUCCAGUUUAAGUAAAAAGAAAAAUGUAUUGAGAAGAUCUGAGUUUAAAAACCAAACCUCAGCAGGGUAAGAAGUAGGGAGGCUCCAGAGACCUUAACUGUGGGAAUAUCUGGACUUUCCCUUUAGGAUGCUCUGUGGCUCAGCUCCAGGACCCUCAGGUGCCGGUCCUCUGAACACAAAUCUCCACAUUUCCAGGAAAGACAAUAUGAUUAGCCCGGCUUCAUUUAGGCAUUCAGCCCUGAAGAAAGUAGCCCUGGCUCAUGUCACCAAGUAAAGACACGACCUCUGGAACUCACCUCACUGAAUCGGGGCAAGUCCCUGGGAAGGGGCCAGGGAUGUGAACUGAGAAGUUCACUCCAAGAGUCACACCAGGCAUGAUCAUGCUGGCCUCAGAUGACACGCCUCUCCUAGCAUGCACCCCCAGCAUGACCUUAGUUCCUCCAGCACAGCUGAAGCAUUUUUAAAGGCUCUCACAGAAGGCUAGAUUUUUAACAAAAACAUCGAAUAAAAGAGGAACAUAAAAUGAGAAAUACACUUUGUAAAGCCCAGAAUACUCAGUACCUCUCAAUGACCCUCAGACGCUGUAGGAAGAGGAUUGGUUCACCUUUUAACCCAGAAUUUCUCACAUUGAAUGGACAGGAUGCAUUCCAAGAGGCCAGAGUAUGUGCAUCUCAGCUCCUGAUGGUUUCCACCACCACCAUUACUUUCUCUAUGUCAAGAUACCUG